GCGGGAAUAGCUCAGUUGGUAGAGCACCAGCUUCCCAAGCUGGGGGUCGCGGGUCCGAAUCCCGUUUCCCGCU
rnacentral:tRNA from 1 species